AUCGAACGCUGGCGGCAGGCCUAACACAUGCAAGUCGAACGAGUGGCGGACGGGUGUGUAAUGUCUGGGAAAUUGCCUGAUGGAGGGGGAUAACUACUGGAAACGGUAGCUAUUACCGCAUACCAUCGGAUGUGCCCAGAUGGGAUUAGCUAGUAGGUGGGGUGAAGGCUCACCUAGGCGACGAUCCCUAGCUGGUCUGAGAGGAUGACCAGCCACACUGGAACUGAGACACGGGCCACACUCCUGCGGGAGGCAGCAGUGGGGAAUAUUGCACAAUGGGCGAAAGCCGGAUGCAGCCAUGCCGCGUGUAUGAAGGAGGCCUUCGGGUUGUAAGGUACUUUCAGCGGGGGGGCGUUACCCGCAGAAGAAGCACCGGCUAACUCCGUGCCAGCAGCCGCGGUAAUAC
rnacentral:rRNA from 1 species